AAUCCCUUAACGAGGAACAAUUGGAGUGCAAGUCUGGUGCCAGCAGCCGCGGUAAUUCCAGCUCCAAUAGCGUAUAUUAAAGUUGUUGCAGUUAAAAAGCUCGUAGUUGAACUUCAGACCUGGCUGGGCGGUCUGCCUCGCGGUAUGUACUGUCCGGCUGGGCCUUACCUCUUGGUGAGCCGGCGUGCCCUUUAUUGGUGUGCGUCGGGGAACCAGGACUUUUACCUUGAGAAAAUUAGAGUGUUCAAAGCAGGCCUAUGCCUGAAUACAUUAGCAUGGAAUAAUAAAAUAGGACGUGCGGUUCUAUUUUGUUGGUUUCUAGAGUCGCCGUAAUGAUUAAUAGGGAUAGUUGGGGGCAUUGGUAUUGAGUCGCUAGAGGUGAAAUUCUUGGAUUGACUCAAGACCAACUACUGCGAAAGCAUUCCCAAGGAUGUUUUCAUUAAUCAAGAACGAAGGUUAGGGGAUCGAAAACGAUCAGAUACCGUUGUAGUCUUAACAGUAAACUAUGCCGACUAGGGAUCGGGCGACCUCACAAUGAUGUGUCGCUCGGCACCUUACGAGAAAUCAAGUCUUUGGGUUCUGGGGGGAGUAUGGUCGCAAGGCUGAAACUUAAAGGAAUUGACGGAAGGGCACCACCAGGUGUGGAGCCUGCGGCUUAAUUUGACCCAACACGGGGAAACUCACCAGGUCCAGACAUAACUAGGAUUGACAGAUUGAUAGCUCUUUCAUGAUUCUAUGGGUGGUGGUGCAUGGCCGUUCUUCUUUGGUGGAGUGAUUUGUCUGGUUAAUUCCGAUAACGAACGAGACCUUAACCUGCUAAAUAGCCAGGCCGGCUUUGGCUGGUCGCCGGCUUCUUAGAGGGACUGUCAGUGUCUAAUUGACGGAAGUUUGAGGCAAUAACAGGUCUGCGAUGCCCUUAGAUGUUCUGGGCCGCACGCGCGCUACACUGACAGAGCCAGCGAGUAUACACCUUGGCCGGAAGGUUUGGGUAAUCUUGUGAAACUCUGUCGUGCUGGGGAUAGAGCAUUGCAAUUAUUGCUCUUCAACGUGGAAUACCUAGUAAGCGUGAGUCAUCAGCUCGCGUUGAUUACGUCCCUGCCCUUUGUACACACCGCCCGUCGCUACUACCGAUUGAAUGGCUUAGUGAGGUCUCCGGAUUAGCUUUGGGGAGCCGGAAACGGCACCUUAUCGCUGAGAAGCUGAU
rnacentral:rRNA from 1 species